rnacentral:tRNA from 1 species
ACUCCUAUAGCACAACCGGAAAGUGCACCGGUCUUCUAAACCGGGUAUCAGCGUUCAAGUCGUUGUGGGAGUGCCA